rnacentral:rRNA from 1 species
GACGAACGCUGGCGGCGUGCUUAACACAUGCAAGUCGAACGGAAAGGCCCUGCUUUUGUGGGGUGCUCGAAUGGCGAACGGGUGAGUAACACGUGAGUAACCUGCCCUUGACUUUGGGAUAACUUCAGGAAACUGGGGCUAAUACCGGAUAGGAGCUCCUGCUGCAUGGUGGGGGUUGGAAAGUUUCGGCGGUUGGGGAUGGACUCGCGGCUUAUCAGCUUGUUGGUGGGGUAGUGGCUUACCAAGGCUUUGACGGGUAGCCGGGCUGAGAGGGUGACCGGCCACGUUGGGACUGAGAUGCGGCCCAGACUCCUACGGGAGGCAGCGGUGGGGAAUAGUGCACAAUGGGCGGAAGCCUAAUGCAGCAACGCCGCGUGCGGGAUGACGUCCUUCGGGUUGUAAACCGCUUUCGCCUGUGACGAAGCGUGAGUGACGGUAAUGGGUAAAGAAGCACCGGCUAACUACGUG